CCCUUAGAUGUUCUGGGCAGCACGCGCGCUACAAUGGUCUUCGCAAACGGAUGCAUUCUCGAAGGAGAAUGCCAAUCUUGGAAUCUAUGCCUUGGUCGGGACAGUUGCUUGCAAUUUUUCGACUCGAAACAGGAAUUCCUUGUAAUCGUGAUUCAUCACAUCACGAUGAAUACGUCCCUGCCCUUUGUACACACCGCCCGUCGCUCCUACCGAUCGAAGAGUUAGGUGAAUUGUUUUGAUCGAUAAGAUUUGACUAUGGUCAACUCUCGUUGUGAAAUUCUGUGAAUCUGACUGUUUAGAGGAAGGAAAAGUCGUAACA
rnacentral:rRNA from 1 species